AGCGAACGCUGGCGGCAGGCUUAACACAUGCAAGUCGAGCGGGCACUUCGGUGUCAGCGGCAGACGGGUGAGUAACACGUGGGAACGUACCCUUUGGUUUGGAAUAACGCUGGGAAACUAGCGCUAAUACCGGAUACGCUCCUUUGGGGAAAGGCUUGCUGUCGAGGGGUAGGCCCGGGACUGAUUAGCUGGUUGGUGGGGUAAUGGCCUAUCACGGCGACGAUAGGUAGCUGGUUUGAGAGGAAGAUCAGCGACACUGGGUCUGGGCUGCGGCGCAGACUACUACGGGAUGCAGCAGUGGGGAAUAUUGGACAAUCGCGGCAGUCCUGAACCAGCCAUGCCGCGAGAGUGAUUAAGGCCUUAGGGUUGUAAAGCACGUUUAUCCGGGACUAUAAUGACGGUACCGAAAGAAUAAGCCCCGGCUAACUUCGUG
rnacentral:rRNA from 1 species